GAUGAACGCUGGCGGCGUGCCUAAUACAUGCAAGUCGAGCGAACAGACGAGGAGCUUGCUCCUCUGACGUUAGCGGCGGACGGGUGAGUAACACGUGGAUAACCUACCUAUAAGACUGGGAUAACUUCGGGAAACCGGAGCUAAUACCGGAUAAUAUAUUGAACCGCAUGGUUCAAUAGUGAAAGACGGUUUUGCUGUCACUUAUAGAUGGAUCCGCGCCGCAUUAGCUAGUUGGUAAGGUAACGGCUUACCAAGGCAACGAUGCGUAGCCGACCUGAGAGGGUGAUCGGCCACACUGGAACUGAGACACGGUCCAGACUCCUACGGGAGGCAGCAGUAGGGAAUCUGCCGCAAUGGGCGAAAGCCUGACGGAGCAACGCCGCGUGAGUGAUGAAGGUCUUCGGAUCGUAAAACUCUGUUAUUAGGGAAGAACAAAUGUGGAAGUAACUAUGCACGUCUUGACGGUACCUAAUCAGAAAGCCACGGCUAACUACGUG
rnacentral:rRNA from 1 species